rnacentral:rRNA from 1 species
GACGAACGCUGGCGGCGUGCUUAACACAUGCAAGUCGAACGGAAAGGCCCUGCUUUUGUGGGGUGCUCGAGUGGCGAACGGGUGAGUAACACGUGAGUAACCUGCCCUUGACUUUGGGAUAACUUCAGGAAACUGGGGCUAAUACCGGAUAGGAGCUCCUGCUGCAUGGUGGGGGUUGGAAAGUUUCGGCGGUUGGGGAUGGACUCGCGGCUUAUCAGCUUGUUGGUGGGGUAGUGGCUUACCAAGGCUUUGACGGGUAGCCGGCCUGAGAGGGUGACCGGCCACAAUGGGACUGAGGUACGGCGCAGACUCCUACGGGAGGCAGUAGUGGGGAAUCUUGCACAAUGGGCGGAAGCCUGAUGCAGCAAUGCCGCGUGCGGGAUGCCGGCCUACGGGUUGUAAACCGCUUUGGCCUGUGACGAAGCGUGAGUGACGGUAAUGGGUAAAGAAGCACCGGCUAACUACGUG